GAUGAACGCUGGCGGCGUGCCUAAUACAUGCAAGUCGAGCGAACGGACGAGAAGCUUGCUUUUCUGAUGUUAGCGGCGGACGGGUGAGUAACACGUGGAUAACCUACCUAUAAGACUGGGAUAACUUCGGGAAACCGGAGCUAAUACCGGAUAAUAUUUUGAACCGCAUGGUUCAAAAGUGAAAGACGGUCUUGCUGUCACUUAUAGAUGGAUCCGCGCUGCAUUAGCUAGUUGGUAAGGUAACGGCUUACCAAGGCAACGAUGCAUAGCCGACCUGAGAGGGUGAUCGGCCACACUGGAACUGAGACACGGUCCAGACUCCUACGGGAGGCAGCAGUAGGGAAUCUUCCGCAAUGGGCGAAAGCCUGACGGAGCAACGCCGCGUGAGUGAUGAAGGUCUUCGGAUCGUAAAACUCUGUUAUUAGGGAAGGACAUAUGUGUAAGUAACUGUGCACAUCUUGACGGUACCUAAUCAGAAAGCCACGGCUAACUACGUG
rnacentral:rRNA from 1 species